rnacentral:rRNA from 1 species
CUCCGGUUGAUCCUGCCGGACCCGACUGCUAUCAGAGUGGGACUAAGCCAUGCGAGUCGACGUAGCAAUGCGUGGCGAACGGCUCAGUAACACGUAGUCAACAUGCCCAGGGGACGUGGAUAACCUCGGGAAACUGAGAAUAAACCACGAUAGGUCACGAUUUCUGGAAUGGAUCAUGGCCUAAAUCUACAUGGCCCCUGGAUUGGACUGCGGCCGAUCAGGCAGUUGGUGAGGUAAUGGCCCACCAAACCUAUAACCGGUACGGGCUCUGAGAGGAGAAGCCCGGAGAUGGGCACUGAGACAAGGGCCCAGGCCCUAUGGGGCGCAGCAGGCGCGAAACCUCUGCAAUAGGCGAAAGCCUGACAGGGUUACUCUGAGUGAUUUCCGCUAAGGGGAUCUUUUGGCACCUCUAAAAAUGGUGCAGAAUAAGGAGUGGGCAAGUCUGGUGUCAGCCGCCGCGGUAAUACCAGCACCCCGAGUGGUCGGGACGAUUAUUGGGCCUAAAGCAUCCGUAGCCGGUUCUGCAAGUCUUCCGUUAAAUCCAGCCGCUCAACGGAUGGGCCGCGGAGGAUACUAUAGGACUAGGAGGCGGGAGAGGCAAGCGGUACUCAGUGGGUAGGGGUAAAAUCCUUUGAUCCAUUGAAGACCACCAGUGGCGAAGGCGGCUUGCCAGAACGCGCUCGACGGUGAGGGAUGAAAGCUGGGGGAGCAAACCGGAUUAGAUACCCGGGUAGUCCCAGCUGUAAACGAUGCAGACUCGGUGAUGGGCUAGCCUUGUGCCAGCCCAGUGCCGCAGGGAAGCCGUUAAGUCUGCCGCCUGGGGAGUACGGUCGCAAGACUGAAACUUAAAGGAAUUGGCGGGGGAGCA